CAUUAAGAAGCUAAAAAGUAGCGACAGCCUUUUAAGCUGUAGACUGGUGGCUCUUAACCACCCUUAGUGG
rnacentral:tRNA from 1 species